CGGUAAGAGGGAUGAUGUACUAUUACCGUGCUCUUGAGAUGCUUACUUUUCUGGAUUCUGCUUCUGAGAUGGAUAUGAGAG